CCUACGGGUGGCUGCAGUAGGGAAUAUUGCUCAAUGGGGGAAACCCUGAAGCAGCACCGCCGCGUGGAGGAUGAAGGUUUUCGGAUUGUAAACUCCUUUUGUGAGGGAAGAUAAUGAAGGUAUCUCACGAAUAAGCACCUGAUAACUCCGUACCAGCAGCCGCGGUAAUACGGAGGGUGCGAGCGUUCCGCGGAAUCACUGGGCGUAAAGAGUGCGGAGGCGGGCUUGUAAGUCAGAGGUGAAAUCCUGUAGCUUAACUACAGAACUGCAUUUGAAACUAUGAGUCUAGAGUGUGUGAGAGGAAUGCGGAAUUCGAGGUGUAGGAGUGAAAUGCAUAGAUAUCACGCAGAACCCCGGUGGCGAAGGCGGCAUACCGGUGCACAACUGACGCUCAGGCACGAAAGCGUGGGUAGCGAACAGGAUUAGAUACCCUAGUAGUC
rnacentral:rRNA from 1 species